rnacentral:rRNA from 1 species
AAAACUCCGGUGGUAUGAGAUGGACCCGCGUCUGAUUAGCUAGUUGGUGAGGUAACGGCCCACCAAGGCGACGAUCAGUAGCCGGCCUGAGAGGGCGACCGGCCACAUUGGGACUGAGACACGGCCCAAACUCCUACGGGAGGCAGCAGUGGGGAAUAUUGCACAAUGGGGGAAACCCUGAUGCAGCGACGCCGCGUGAGUGAAGAAGUAUUUCGGUAUGUAAAGCUCUAUCAGCAGGGAAGAAGAAAGACGGUACCUGACUAAGAAGCCCCGGCUAACUACGUGCCAGCAGCCGCGGUAAUACGUAGGGGGCAAGCGUUAUCCGGAUUUACUGGGUGUAAAGGGAGCGUAGACGGCUGUGCAAGUCUGAAGUGAAAGCCCAGGGCUCAACCCUGGGACUGCUUUGGAAACUGUGGAGCUAGAGUGCUGGAGAGGUAAGUGGAAUUCCUAGUGUAGCGGUGAAAUGCGUAGAUAUUAGGAGGAACACCAGUGGCGAAGGCGGCUUACUGGACAGUAACUGACGUUGAGGCUCGAAAGCGUGGGGAGCAAACAGGAUUAGAUACCCUGGUAGUCCACGCGGUAAACGAUGAAUACUAGGUGUUGGAGAGCAAAGCUUUUCG